AUGGGCUCACUAACCCUGAUGGCUACAUGCGUCCGGUUGAUGACUUGGUUGGUGUACAUAUCCAAGUCUCCAACUCGCCGUGCCUCGACGACCACCAUGCCUGACAAGCUGCUUAUGGCCACAAGCCAGGGUGAUGGCAAUCUGGCCUUGUACACAUCCAGCAACGGAGGUUCUGAUGAUGUAGAGGAAGGUGGUGCUCUGCCUGCACCAUCAUCGCUCCUUGAGGGGGUGACUGUCGAAGGGGACACUGCACUCCACGCGGUGGCUACCUGCGGCCGUGGCGAUGACUUCCUGAGGAGCGCAGACAUCAUCCACAGAAAGGCGCGAAACCUCCUGUUCGUGCAGAACAAGAAGGGAGACACACCCGUGCACUGCGCGGCGAGGGCCGGGAAUCUCAAGAUGGUCUCUUGUCUCAUUCGUCUGGCUAAAUCGGGAGGGGAGGCUGUUUCUCGAGUGAAGUCGCUGCUGGAGAAGGAGAACAAGCUUAAGGGGACGGCCUUGCAUGAGGCCGUCCGGAUUGGGAAGGUGGAGAUGGUGGAGCGGCUGAUGAAGGAGGACCAGGACUUGGCCGGUUUACACGAAAAAGGGGUUUUCCCCCGCUUUAUAUUAUAA
rnacentral:rRNA from 1 species